UUUUUUUUUUUUUUUUUUUUUUUUUUUUUUUUUUUUUUUUUUUGUCUCUAUUUUGUAAGGUGAAUAUACAUUUUAUAUAUAUUACCUUUUUGUUUUUAUUAAACAAUUCAACUCACACGAGCAUUAUAAAAAUUGUUAAUCAAACAUUUUAUCAAUUAUAACAAUAAGAAGACAAAAUGGUAAAUUGUGAAUAUGCCGCUGGCGUAGCUUCUGAACGUUUGGAUAAUAUAAAAGAUUAUGAUACUGGAAGAAAAUCCAAGUUUCAUAUGGUCGAUUUUGUUAAUAAUAAUAAUAUUUAUGAUAUUUUACAUAAUUAUGGUACAGAAAAUAAAAAUAACAUAUGUAAUAAAAAAGUUGGUAAAUAUGAUAACAAGUAUAAUCCUAAUAAUAUGCAAUAUGCUGGUUUGCCAUCGUUUAUUCAAAAUUCCGAAAAUGAAAAAAGUAAAAGAAUAAAAUGUGACAUAAAUGGUCAUAAUGAUAAUAUGAAAAAUGUAAUUCAAUAUAAUAAAAUUGAUGAUAAUAACAUAGAUAAUUCAAAAUACUUUUUUUCUGAUAAAGGUUAUACUUUAACACCUAAAAGAAUUUUAACUAGACAUGUUAAUGAUAAUGAAAUAAAUAAAUAUUUUUAUACAAAAUAUGAUGUGACUGAUAAAUCCAGUGGAAGAACGGAAAUAAUGGUUGCAAGGAAAAAUGGUUGUUCUAAUGUUAUUGUUCAGAAUUUUACAGAAUUUGAUGCAUAUGCAACUUAUAAAAAAAGGGGUAGCAAAAAAAAUAGGAGUGAAUCUGUUGUUCAUACGAAAAUGGGACUUAUGGCAAAAGAUGAUAAACAUAUAAACCAUAAGGUCAGUAAAGCACAAUCUGUAUUUACUAAUGCAAACAGAAAGGACAACAUAGCGCCAGAAAAAUAUUGGUUGUGCCCAAUUAAUGAAAGUAAAAGAAACAAAACAAAAAGAGUAUAUAACAUGUAGGUAAAGGUUUUUACUUAACUAUUUAACGUUUUUUUUUUUUUUUUUUUUUUUUUUUUUAUUUUUAUUAUUAUUCUUAUUAUUAUGCUUAUUUUUACUCUUAUUCUUAUUAUUCUUAUUAUUAUUAUUAUUAUUCUUAUUUUUAUUAUGUUAAUUAUGCUAAUAAUGCUAAUUAUUUGAAUUAUGUUAAUUAUGUUAAUUAUGUUAAUGUUUGUCUAUUAGUUUUAUGUCCCCUUUUUAUGUUGUCUUAUUUGACGUAAUAACAAAUCUACUUUAAAAAAAAUGAACUUUUUUUACAGAUUAUAUCAAAUAUAUAUAAAAUUUAAUUAUAUACCUAUGCCUUUUUUUUUUUUUUUUUUGUAUAAUGUAUUAUAUAUAAAAUCAAAUUAAUAAAUGUACUUUUUUUUUUUUUUUUUUUUUUUUU
rnacentral:lncRNA from 1 species